rnacentral:rRNA from 1 species
GACGAACGCUGGCGGCGUGGAUUAGGCAUGCAAGUCGAACGGUAUCAUCCUUUCGGGGGUGAGAGAGUGGCGAACUGGUGAGUAACACGUAGGUUAUCUACCCUCAAGACGGGGACAACCCAGGGAAACUUGGGCUAAUACCGGAUGUGAGCAACUUUUAGUUGUUUGAAAGGUGGCGUAAGCUGUCGCUUGGGGAUGAGCCUGCGUCCUAUUAGUUAGUUGGUGAGGUAACGGCUCACCUAGGCAAUGAUAGGUAGGCGGCCUUAACGGGUGGUCGCCCACACUGGGGAUUGAGAUACGGCCCAGACUCCUACGGGAGGCAGCAGUCGAGAAUAGUCUACAAUGGUCGGAAGACUGAUAGUGCGACGCCGCGUGAACGAUGAAUCCCUUCGGGGUGUAAAGUUCUUUUAUAUGUGAGCAGUGCUUCUUAUAUUAACAGUAUGGGGAGAGAGAGUAUUAGCAUAUGAAUAAGCAACGGCUAACGUCCGUGCCAGCAGCCGCGGU